rnacentral:misc_RNA from 1 species
ACGGGCCUAUCAUGAAAAAGCCAAUGUUGAAUGCCAGACGGAGGCAAAUGUAGAAGAUAAUACCUUAAAGGAUAACAAAAAGCACAGUGCAUUCAUCAAUCUGCACUAGAAUUUGCGUUAUGACAGGUUUUUUACCUAAACAUCCCAAUCUGACAUUCCCAUAACCAUAUUAACCACAUUCGAACUGUUGCAUUCCACUAAGAGAUGGUUAAAACCCAUUGGUAUGGCUAUUUCAUGAAGAAAGCCCGCAACUGCACCAUAGACACUGUACAUCGCCCCCAAUUCGCCACAAAGCCACAUAUGCAGUCCCCAAGUUCUCCUCUAAUUAAACAACUGCCAUGAUCAAACCUUUCGACCCCUCUAGCUGAACAGCCGGUUGGGGAAGCUUUCCGACCCACCUACCGAGUCUCUCACACCAGCUGAAAUACCCAAGUUACAGCAUCGAUUCAUGAUGAUUGUUGAAGACAGCGUUAUUCUUCCUUUGCCAAAUUCUUCGGCAAGCUGUGCCAAAUACAACGUCCCAUCUCAAUCCCUCUACCUUAUCUUCCUUUCUCGUCAAGUUACGCGUCAUCCAAUACGAAACAGAGCUUGAUUUAUUAUUAUUAAAGAAACCUGGCCACUCAUUCGAUGGCAGCAACUGUCUCCACACACAUGACCCAAACUUGCAGUCCCGCAAUGCAUGAAUAGAAGACUCUGCGUGGCCCAGACACAAUUCACAAGUAUCCGACGUUACCAGGUGUCGGCGGCUUCUUUCUGCAUUCGUAAGAAGCCUGAUGUGCUUCGCCAACCAAAGAAACACUCUCACCCUUUGUGGACCUUUCCAGUGCCAUAUUACCAUCCAAUCAGAUUGCGUUGAGUGAGCCUCACCUUGCAUAAGCGACAUAUAAGCAGACUUAAUACUAAACUUACCACUGGAAGAAAGUUUCCAGUAAACUGCAUCUGCAUCACUUGCUUCUUGAGGAGGAAGAAUUAUGCAAAUAUCCUUCAACAAUUUUUAGCUUAGCAGGGAAGAAAACUUACUCCAGCUCCUUUCACAUUAAUUUAUUCAAUUUCUGUAAUCCUCCUUCCCCUUUACAAUCUCCUUCUUCACCUAUUAAUCUUUGUGUAGGUUAUUAUUAAAUGCAGGGGAAUAAACAGACAAAACGAAUAGAAUCACUUGCUGCUCUAGAAAAUUUGGGGGUUGAUGCCCGCGAUAUACUCUGAGGAAAACUUAAUAAUGUCAAUUACUCCUGUAAUGUGGCAAAAUUUUUGCUUGUGAAAUUCUAGGCAAUUAUAAAUUUGGAAGAAAUCUACCAGACCCCUCCCCCCCUCCUGAGUAAAACAGUUAAGGUCCUGAUCAUUCUUGCAAGUAUGUUGUAGCAUUGAGACAUUGUGCUAGAUUUCUAGCAUGUAUUUAUUUUCUUCUACUAAUAUUCUUUCUUUGUUCCUCAAUUAAUCCUGGAAAUCUUCUCUAGUUUUCAUCAUGCUGCACCUCAUUGGCAGUCUCCACCUUUUCCACGCAGUUUCCCCAAUUAAUUCGGCUUUAUCAACAUUCCUUUUAGUGAAUCUGUUGCUAAUCUUCGUCUAUUUUAUAGUUUGCUAUAAACUAUUUACUUCCACAGGUUCUGCAGCAACUGAGGGAAAAGGCACUGAGGCGUGCAAAGUUAACAUAACACGAAGUAUUGCAAAAAAAUUGAAGGACUGUAGCAAGAAAGAACAGAGACUAUGAAAAAUCA